ACGGGGUGCAGCAGGCGCGAAAACUUUGCAAUGUGCGAAAGCACGACAAGGUUAAUCCGAGUGGUUUCUGCUAAAGAAACCUUUUGUCAGUCCUAGAAACACUGAUGAAUAAGGGGUGGGCAAGUUCUGGUGUCAGCCGCCGCGGUAAAACCAGCACCUCAAGUGGUCAGGAUGAUUAUUGGGCCUAAAGCAUCCGUAGCUCGUUUUGUAAGUUUUCGGUUAAAUCCAUGCGCUUAACGUAUGGGCUGCCGGGAAUACUGCAUAACUAGGAAGUGGGAGAGGUAGACGGUACUCGGUAGGAAGGGGUAAAAUCCUUUGAUCUAUUGAUGACCACCUGUGGCGAAGGCGGUCUACCAGAACACGUUCGACGGUGAGGGAUGAAAGCUGGGGGAGCAAACCGGAUUAGAUACCCGGGUAGUCCCAGCUGUAAACGAUGCAGACUCGGUGAUGCAUUGGCUUGUGGCCAAUGCAGUGCCGCAGGGAAGCCGUUAAGUUUGCCGCCUGGGAAGUACGUACGCAAGUAUGAAACUUAAAGGAAUUGGCGGGGGAGCAC
rnacentral:rRNA from 2 species